CAUGAUAGAACUGAUUUACAGCAAAUCUCUUAUCGAAAGCACGAGUCCAUAAUGUUAAAUAAAAGCAGGGAAUAUUCAGAGGAGUCUGACACGGAGAGCGCGUCGAGUGAAGGACAUGAUUCCUCCUGCAUAACAGGUCUCCUCAGCAGUUUAGGUGAGCUUAGGUUUAGCCGAGUGCGACCGUAGUUAUUUUUACAGACUGACUACGAGAUUGAAUUAAGUUCUUGUUGUUUACUGCAUUUAUGUGUCAAAGCCUCUCGCCUAAUAAAUAAAGUGGCAGGGUAUAAUUUAUGUGUUAUGUAGGUUUGCGUCACUACAGUCGCUGCUAGUGGAUAUCAGAAGGGCGGGGUUUCGUCGUAGGAAUUUGACGUCACACCCUCGUCAGAAUGAGCAGCAGGACGCCGGGAUAACUUGUAAUGCCUCGGUGUGGCUUUAUCUUCUUAAUUUGCUUGGAAAGCGGGUUUUUGGCAUCUGGAGUAUGCUUAUUUUUACAGUUUAAUCAUUUAUAGCUGUGAGUAGCGCCGUCAGGACUGUUAGCUUAUCUUACUGAACACUGUAUGAAAACAAGGAAGGCGCUGGUAGCUGCCAGUGACACCUGUGUGACUGUAGACCUGCCGUGUGUGUGUGUGGUUGAGUUAAACUGCUGCUCGUUAAAUAGGUUUAGAGAGAAACUGGGGCUGCUUCCGGAACGUUUCCAAGAUGUUAAACAUUCCCACCCAGUCUUUCCCUGCACCGAGCUCCCAACAGAGGAUCUCUCCGUCUGGCCAGUCCGAGAGGAACAAGGUGGCACUGAAGCCCGGCCACAGUCUAAUGGACUGGAUUCGGUUUGCCAAAAGUGGAAAAGAUUUGACUGGACUCAGUGGUCGCAUCAUUGAAGUUACCCAAGAAGAACUACAGAAACACAACUCAAGGGGUGACUGCUGGACCUGUAUACGAGGGAUGGUUUAUAAUGUCACACCAUACAUAGACUACCACCCUGGGGGAGAAGAGGAGCUGAUGAAGGCAGCAGGGAUUGAUGCCACGGACCUCUUCGACCAGGUCCAUCGCUGGGUGAAUUAUGAGUCCAUGUUAAAAGAGUGCCUGGUGGGUAGAUUGGCCACAAAGGCUGCUGCAGCUCAUAAAGCUGCCACGCCAGCUUCACCUCCAACAGGCCUCGCUCCACCUGCUGCGGUUCCUCCUCCAUCUAACAGAGACCCAAAACCUCGGUUCGACUGGUUCCAGACUGAUGCCACUGUCCAUUUGGUUGUUUAUGCAAAGAGAAAGAUUCCCAGCUCGGGCUGUACGACUGUUGACCUCCAGGCUGGUGUUCUUCGAGUGGAAGUGCUCCUUGGGAAAAUGUCAUUCAUGAUACAUUUAUGUCUUGCCAGUCCAGUUGAAGAAAACAUUGCUGUCCACUCUGCCGUCUCUGUGGGAAAGAUCCAGGUCACCAUGCACAAGCAAACUAAAGAAAAAUGGAAAAGCCUUGGUCAGCCACUGGAAUUCCACAAUACCUUCCUAUGCAAAAAAGACAGAGCCCUUUUCUAUCGGGACUGUGUGCUGGCGUCUAAAGCUGAGGUGAACCAUAACUCCCAACUCUUCAGACUGCACUUCCCACAAGGGACUGUCCUGCAAGUGCCUGUUGGAAGACAUGUCUUCCUCAAGGCCCUCAUUCAAGACACAGAUGUAGUGAGGCCAUACACUCCAGUGGGUCAAAGUUUGGUAGCAGCUUCCCAUCACUCCUCUCAGGACUCGGACCUCUACCUCAUGAUCAAAGUCUAUCCAGAUGGGGUUUUCACCAAAUACCUCAACAGCUUACGAGUUGGCGAUCACAUAUCUGUAAGUGGUCCAGAAGGUGUUUUUAGUCUCCGCUGUUUUCGUGAUGUCACAAACCUCUACCUGUUAGCAGCAGGAACGGGAUUUACGCCCAUGGCACGCCUCAUCAGCCUGGUCCUGCAGGAAAACACCAUCAGGUUAACUAAGCUGCUGUUUUUUAACCGGCGGGAGGAAGACAUCCUGUGGCGAAGCCAGCUGAGUGAGCUGGCUGCUAAAGAUGAACGGUACUGCAGCUUUUGUUUGAGUGGACUGCUCUGAUCUGAGGAGGAAAAGACAGAAAUGUUUCAGGUGGAGCACAUCCUCUCGGAGCCCUCUGAUAGCUGGACGAACAGAACAGGUCGGGUGGAUGAGGCCAUGUUGAAGGAGCUCCUCGUACGACCAUCUGGGUCAAGAUGCUAUGUUUGUGUGUGUGGUCCUUCAGCUUUCACAGAGCUGACGGUAAGAUUGUUGAAGCAGCUAGGGUUCAGCGAAGAGGAGCUCCACACCUUCCAAGGCUGACAUCUCUAAGGGUUGUGUGUGUGGAAGAAGAGACAUACUUCUAUGCACCAAUAUGACGAAGUAAUGCUGGACUUCACAUCUGAGCAUUUACAGUCCUUCCAGGGCAAGAGGAGCACUGGUGCCGUGGGAUUCUGGUGGACUAAACUUAAUCAAAUUCAUGUAAAAAUGUUUGAAAUAAAAGUACAGAAAGAAAA